UACGAAGGUGGCAAGCGUUGUUCGGAUUCACUGGGCGUACAGGGUGUGUAGGCGGUUUGGUAAGCCUUCUGUUAAAGCUUCGGGCCCAACCCGGAAAGCGCAGAGGGUACUGCCAGGCUAGAGGACGGGAGAGGAGCGCGGAAUUCCCGGUGUAGCGGUGGAAUGCGUAGAGAUCGGGAGGAAGGCCGGUGGCGAAGGCGGCGCUCUGGAACGUUACUGACGCUGAGACACGAAAGCGUGGGGAGCAAACAGG
rnacentral:rRNA from 1 species